UACGUAGGGGGCAAGCGUUAUCCGGAUUUACUGGGUGUAAAGGGAGCGUAGACGGAAUUGCAAGUCUGAUGUGAAAAUCCGGGGCCCAACCCCGGAACUGCAUUGGAAACUGUAUUUCUAGAGUGUCGGAGAGGCAAGUGGAAUUCCUGGUGUAGCGGUGAAAUGCGUAGAUAUCGCGCAGAACUCCGAUUGCGAAGGCAGCAUGCCGGCUCCACACUGACGCUGAGGCACGAAAGCGUGGGUAUCGAACAGG
rnacentral:rRNA from 1 species